GAACCCCGCGAAAGAACAAGUGCAUUAUGCGACGUUGGGCGAGAGGCGUCUCGCCGGUACCCGUACUACAUACCCUUCGGGGUCGGUCGGGUUCCGAAUCAAAGCGUACACCCCAUUUUCAACCCCACUAAACUCUGAAUCUGAACUCAAAAGGGAGGCUGGCCCUACCCGGCCGCCCU
rnacentral:rRNA from 1 species